rnacentral:lncRNA from 1 species
AUGGAGAGAGCACAGAUCCCUGAGCCUUUUCCUAAACACCAACUAGAUGCAGAAGAAGAAGAUGUAACUGUGGAGGAAGGGGAGGAUGGGGAGAUGGUAGGAAGGAGGAGUGCAUUAGAACGCAGUAUGAGCAGACAGUCAGUUGCAUCAUCAGAUGUGUCAUGCCAACAAACACCUCAGAGAGAGCGUAGGUUCAGUAAAGACAGUACUCAAUCCCUCUGCCUGUCUGAUGGGGACGAGGGUUCAGGCAGCGAUAGCAGUCGUAUCCCUCGGGGCAGUGUCAUCCGAAGCACUUUCUACAGCACCUCUCAUCAGCUUUCACCAAUGUCAGCAAGACAUAUGUCUUUACGGGACAAAUUCCAGGCUAAAAAGCAGGAAAGAGGCCGCAAACCACUCAGGAGAAGCUUCUCAGGACGUCUCAAUGAGCCUCUUAUUGAAUAUGUGGAGGAUGAGACAGAAACCAACCGUAGUCAGAGACGGGGGUCUACCCAGUCCACAAGGCAUAAGUCCUGCUCGUUUGACAAUGGAGGUAGCCCCACCCACACCAAUGCACCACCUCAUAGAAGGAGCAGGUCGCUUGAUGGGUAUUCUUGUCGAUCUUCCAGCUCCCCUAAGCGCACAAUGCCAGGUGAAGAAGGUGGCUCUCAAAGUAUGAAGGAAGAUUUCACAGAUGACGAAGUGAUCGGGAGAACCUCACUGGCUAUCUCAAGUCAAUCCACAAGAACAAAAGGCUCUGUAGCUCCAACACAGGGGUCUUUUGUGCUCAGGGGUACAUCUGUUCCCUCCAAUUUUGUUGCUGGAGAAAGAAUGAGCGCCAGGCUGGGUCAGGAGCAAACAGAGGGAGAUACCUUUUCCGGUUCUCAGGGGUCUUUGGCUGAGUCUUACAUUUUAGAGCAUGGGGGCUCUGAAUCUUCAAGUAGACUCGGCUCCUAUGAGGAGCUGAGUCAUGGUUACCUCAGAGGAAGAUACAGAUCAGGAGAGAGUGAAAGUUAUGAUGACCAGGGGGAACCUCUAAUUUCACCAUCCCCUUCGUCUUUCCAAGAAGUUAAACCCAGAAGCUCUUUUCCCCAGGUUCCACCACGAAACCGCACUCGCUCUAAUCCCAACUUAUCUACAGACAGCAGAGGUCCCCCAAGGAUCCCACUUAGUCCGAGCCCUAGUCCCAGCCUCUCUUCCCUCCAGACUCCAGAAAGGCCUUCCAGAGCCAGGGACAAGAAGCAAAAGGACGGCCUCCAGAGGCAUGCAUCAGCUCCAGCCCUGGAAAUCCAACCACGCACAGGCAAAUCACCCAAGCUGGGACUGCUGAAGAUCUUCCGCAGGCAGUCCUGGACUGGUCAUUCGUACUCACAGCUGGACAACAGAGAGUUAGGACCCACACUAGGAGAGAUCAUGAAGCCUGAUACACCCACCAUGUCCCUGAGGAAGAAAAUGAGAGCCUCAGCCUCCAGCCUCACCAAGCUGUUCUCCAGGUCUUCUAGUAAAGAGGAUGUGAGUAAAGGUGAGUUAUAA